GACGAAGGGGGCUAGCGUUGUUCGGAAUUACUGGGCGUAAAGCGCGUGUAGGCGGUUGUUCAAGUCAGGUGUGAAAGCCUUGAGCUCAACUCAAGAAAUGCACUUGAUACUGGAGUGACUAGAGGACCGGAGAGAUAGUGGAAUUCCCAGUGUAGUGGUGAAAUACGUAGAGAUUGGGAAGAACACCAGUGGCGAAGGCGGCGUAUCGUGGACGG
rnacentral:rRNA from 1 species